UUAAUUUUAAUUGGUCGUUUUGGGCCAAGGAAGUUACGGAAAGUGGUGGAGUGAGAGCUGGCUGCCCAGAACACCUGUCAGGUUGUCCCUCGGCUGAUCAGAAAGCGGGUGGAGGGCGUGCCUUUCCUUUCUUAUUGGGCCUGAAGUAAAGCAGACUGCUGCCCCACCCCGACCCCGACCCCGCUGCCCGCCUCGUCCGCGUCUCAGCAAGUGGCCGCUCCACGGCUCCCUGCGCUCAAGCCAGCCCCCCUGGAAGGGUGUCACGGAGCGCACGGGCGGGUUGUCUAGCGAGUCCGAAGAGUGGGAUCCACGGACACGGGGUGUGAAGCAGCAAAGUGACGGGGUUCAUUGGAGUACAGGAAAGCAGAGCUCCCGAGAGGGUAGGGCCCCUAGACAGGGCUGCCCGCGGGUCGUUGUCGGGGGUUUCUGUUCGUUACUGAUGAGGAAAAGCCUUCUGGCGCAAUUGAAAGUGUAAGAUCCUGAUUUCUUAUUCCCAUAUGGAUGGGUUUAAUGUCUUUGCUCACCUCACUUUGUCCUGAACUUGUUCCUUAAAACAAAAGAACUGCUUGAGAUGAAAACAGCUCUUUGAGGUGGACUAAUGUGAGGGUCGUCAAGGAAAUCUGGGGUCACAAUAGAGUGUUGCGUGAUUAGGACUUUCCAGUCAGGAACCAAAAAUAAAUAAAUAAAAACCACCCUAUAGGGUUUCAGUCUGGGAUGGUGGGACCCCCUUCGAGGUCUGCAUUUCAAUCUUUCUCCUGCUGCGAAGGUAUAUUCUGACUUCUCAUUCUCACCCUUGUCCCCUCCUGUUGUUGCCUGUCUCUCAUACUUAGGUCAUCUUAUGAGAAGACACCAUCACAUGAUGGCGGUAGCCUGAAUUAGCUUCCUGGGACUGUCGUGUCACAGUGCUACAAACUGAGUGCCUUAAACAACAGAAGUUUAUUUUUCUAAAAUCUGGAGACCACAAUUCUAAAAUCAAGGUUUUGCAUAAUGAUGCUCUAUCUACAGUCUCCAGGGGAGGAAACUAUGCCUUUUCUAACUUCCCGUGGUGGCGGUCAUCUCUUGACGUUCCUUGCAGUGAAGCUGCAUCUCUCUAGUCUGUUUCGGUCACUAUGUGACAAUCUCCUUGUGUGUCUCUGUCCUCCCAUUGCGUUUUUCCUUUCUUGUAAGGAUACCAGUCCUGUUGCAUUUGGGCACACCCUAAUGACCUCAUCAUAAUUUGAUCAUCCAGAUUCCCCCUGCCAAAUAAGGUUAUAUUCACAAAAAUACUAGAGGUUAAGAUUUCAAAAUUUUGGGGGGAAGGCACAAUUCAACCCAUAACACCUGCUACAUUCCCUCCCUGAUUCCCUACAGUGACAGAUGAUAUUUUUUGUUUUGUUUGUGAUGCUGGGGAUGGAAUCCAGGGCCUUUCACAUGCUUAGUAGGCAUUUCUAUCACAGAGCUACAUCCCUAGCUCUAUAAUCCUUCCUAAAAGUCAGAUCAUUUCAGUCCUCUGCACAGAAUCCUCAAUUUCCUAUGUCACUCAGUAAAAUCCAAAGUUAGUUUGCUUCCAACCUCUAUAUGAUUGUCAUUCCCAAUCUCCUGCCAUUAUCCUUCUCACAACUGAAAGGAAAGCGAGGAAACAGGAGCAGGGCGAGUAAGAAAUGAAAGAGGGAGACCAGUCAGAGACACAUGAGACCAGUCAGACGACUGUUUAUUUCUGGUAGAAAGGUAUCUACCUCUCUCCGUUGUGUCCGGACCCCAAGUUCUGAAAAUACCCCCUCCAAACCCCUAAUCUCGACCCAUCCAGGAUUACACCCGUCACUUCCCAACCCAACCAUACUCCCUCGUCACUCGGAAAGAGUCUUUCCUGGAACCCCCACCCUUUCGUUUUGAAAAAAGAAUUUUACCGCCGACAGUUAAUUCUACCGACAGGUCCACGAUUUGUUCCUGGAAGAUCAAACCGGGUCACCUUUUCGAAAUAAAACAGGAUAUUAAUAUGAGAGUGUAUCAAUCUACUCCCAUUACUGUAACAGAAUGCCUGAGACUGGAUGGUUUUAAAGAACAAAAACUUAUUCCUUGCAGUUCUGGAGGCUGAAAAUCCAAGAUUGAGGCACCACUAGGUUUUGUGUCCUGAGAACCUGGUUUCUGCUACCGGGAUGAUGCUGUGCUCCUGUGUCCUCUGGAGGAGAGGAACCACCACGUCCUCAAACAGCAGAAGAGAUGGUGGGAAAUGGUGAGAUCACUCUUUGCAGCCUCCUUUAUAAGGGCGCUAACCCUACUGAGCCUUCAGGACUUAGCUGCCUGCUAUAGGCCCCCGCCUCUUAAUUCUGUCACAGUGUUGGUUAAGUUCAAGGUCUGAGCUUGGUUGGGCACAUUCAGGCCUUAGCAUCAUAUGACCACUACCAUAUCUGUGAUUUAGAACAUUUCCAGUUAAGCUCAAAAAACAUUUUUGAUGCUAUUGUAUUAUCUUUAAUUCAUAAUUAUUCAUUGCUAAUAUAUGGGAAUAACAUUGAUUUUUAUACAUUGACAUUGUAUCCUUUGACUAUGCUAAAAUUACAUUCUCUCUAGCAGAUUUUUUAGAUUACUUGGAUUUUCUAUGCAAAUGUUUGUGACAUCUACAAAUAAGAUGAUCUUAUUCCUUCAUUUCAAUGUGUAUGCCUUUUUUCUUUUUCUUGAAUUGUUGAACUGACUAGGACCUAAAGCACAGUGUUAAUAGUAAGUUGUGGGACUUGCCAACCUUGUAUUUCAAAGCAAAAUCCACUUGGUCAUAACAUAUUAUCCUUGUGUGUGUGCGUGUGUGUGUGUGUGUAUGUUUUAUUGAUUCAGUUUGGUAAAGUGUUAAGUUUUUAAUUAAUUAUUCAUUUACUUAUUUACUUUUGGCACUGAGGAUUGCACUCAGGGGCACUCAGCCACUGAGCCACAUCCAGCCCUUUUUUGUAUUUUAUUAAAGACUGGGUCUCACUGAGUUGCUUAGUGCCUCACCAUUGCUGAGGCUGGCUUUGAACUCAUGAUCGUCCUGCCUCAGCCUCCCAAGCCACUGGGAUUACAGGCAUACUCCACUGUGCCCGGCUGCAUUAAGAGUUUUUGUGUCUAGGAGCUAGGGAUGUGGCUCAAGCGGUAGCGCGCUCACCUAGCAUGCGUGCGGCCCGGGUUCGAUCCUCAAAGAUGUUGUGUCUGCCGAAAACUAAAAAAAAAUAAAUAUUAAAAAAUUCUCUCUCUCUCUCUCUCUCUCUCUCUCUCUCUCUUAAAAAAAGAGUUUUUGUGUCUAUGUUCAUGAGUGACAUUUGUCUACUUGUUUUCUUUUUCUUUUCUUUCUUUCUUUCUUUUCCCCCAUUGCUGGGUGUUAAACAGGGCCUUGCGCAUGCUAGAUAAGCUCUCCAUCCUGUAUUUUUUCUUAUAAUAUCUUUUUGUGGUUUUAAUAUCAUAUAAUGACUGCUCUUAUGAAUAAAAACUUGGAACAUUCCUCCUUUUUCUUUACCUAGGUUAGUUUGUGUAGAAUGGGAGUUAUUUUUCUCCCAAAAUGUUUGGGAACAUUUUAGGAAAAUGAAAUCAUCUGGGUAUGAAAUUUUCUUUCUGGGAAGAUUUUUAAACAAUGAAUUAUUAAUUAUUUAUUUUUUCUUUUUUUGAGAAUUUUUAAAAAUAUUUUAUUUUUUAGUUUUCAGCGGACACAACAUCUUUGUUUUUUGUUUUUUUGUAUGUGGUGCUGAGGAUCGAACCCAGGCCGCACGCAUGCCAGGCGAGCACACUACCGCUUGAGCCACAUCCCCAGCCCAUUAAUUAUUUCUUUUCUUUUCUUUUUCCUUUUCCUGGGAUUGAACCCAGAGGUGCUUAACCACUGAGCUACAUCCUUAACCCUUUUUAUUUUUUAUUUUGAGACAGGGUCUCACUGAGGCUGGCCUUAAACUUGGAAUCCUCCUGCCUCAGCCCCCAGAGUCUUUGGGAUUAUGGGUGUGCACCACCUUCCCAGCUCUAUUUCUUAAAUAAUUGUGAGGCUCUAAGCAACUUAGUGAGACCCUGAAUCAAAUUUGAAAAAAAUAAAAAGGGCUGAGUCUGUGGCUCAGUUGUAAAGUGCUUCUGGGUUCAAUCUCCAGUACCAAACAACCAAAAAAGUAAAAUAGGAAGUUGGCUUAGGAAUACCAGGAAGCACGUCCUCACAAGACUGCCCAUCUCCCCAAAUCUGGGGAGCAUCACAGGGCUGUCCAGCAGGGCUUUAGGCGAGCCUGCCUUGCCUGGGUGUCCUAGGAGCUUUGCUGAGGAUGUUCAGUACGGGCAAGUUGUUCCUGUGAAGUCCUGUCUGUCCAGCAGAGAGAUGGCUGCUGGUUUGUGCAUUCAGACUCGGUACCAGUGAACUGUAGUAGUGAGUUUGUUUCCUCUGCCCUCCAGCCUCUCCCUUGUACAUGCCUGUCCAAUACCCACUUGUGCAAACCUGCUCUUGAGAAAGUGUCACAUUAUGGGCCAGGCUAUAUGGGCAAUGACCAAACAGACUCCAUUUUACCCUGAGACUCCAUCAUAUAAGAAAUGCUUCUCCCGUGGGAAAGCCCCGCCUCUGUACCCAUUAAUAGUUACCUAGCAUAAAAUACUUGGCAACAGAAAAUAGUAAUUCUUAUACAAUGUAAAAUUGUUCUCUUGUUUCCAUUUUUCUUGGGCAGUGUACCUUGUGAGAGAUAGAUUGUCUAGUCCUUAGUAACCAUUCUCUAACUUUGUACCGAGCUAGGGUCAUUUUGACCCACUUCCCUUCUGCUGGCUUGCUGCUAUGCCAACCUGGAAAGUCCCAUGGGAAAUACCAAUGUACCCAUCGCAUUGUCUCGCUAUCUGCCCAGUUCAGCUUCUGUACCUGCUUGUUAGCAGCUGCAUCAACCCAGAUGUGGUUUUUGCCUUUAAAUAUCCUAAAAUGCUCAGGCUCAGAGCUGUUUCUUGCAGAGAAAGUUAUGGGUCCUGUGGGGAGUACUCACCAGCUGGCUGGCUAAAUAAAGACUCUUACAUUUGUACAAAACUGGGACUUGGUGUGUUUCUGAGCAACCUUCCCCACAACAUUGGCUACUUAAUGAAGAAGUAUUUUCAAUCAAAGCCACAACAUCUGGCAGAGUCAAGAGAUCACUGCAGAAAAGAUUUAAUGAUAGGAGGUCGAAGCUCUGCUCCACCACACAAACCCAUUUGUUAACUGUUCUUCCUCCCCAAUUAAAAAAAAAUCUCAUUUUAAAUUUCAUUGGAGAGUUCUUUUUUGUUGUCUUUUUUCAUUUCUUGAUCAAUUUGCCUCUAUUUUUCUGCCACUUCCUGUAUGUCAGAGAUCUCUCUUUGUACCCAUCUGUCCUAGCCUCAGCCCCUCUUUUUGCUCCUGCUGAUGCUAUGGCAACAAGAUGCUCACAGGCAUAUCCUAGCAUCCCAGGCCUCAGCUCCAACUCCUGGCUUUCUGGCCUUGGACUACCCUGCCGGUGGGAGGCACCUGUCGGUCUCUGCUCAGCCCCCAAGGUGCAUGAGCACUCACGGACGGGCAAGGGAGUUAUCAUCAUAGUGGGCAGCCAAGGUCAGGGAGUCUCUCCCACCCCUCACACAUAAGCCUAGACCUGUCCUCACAAGGGCAGCAAGGCCAGCUCCAAGUUGCUCACUGUGCGCAGGGUAACUCCCUUUGUCCUCACAGCUCUAUGAGGCUGGUACUAUUGCCCCAUUAUAUAGGUAUAGAAAUUGAGGCACAAGAAAUGUGCAUUAGUCCAUGGUCACCCACUGGCAAGGACACAAGCAUUCUGGCUUCAGUCCUCACCUGCACAGCCCUGCCUUCAAAAGGCACGUGUACUGCCUCUUUCCACUGGUGUCCCUGUUUACCUAGACCCAUGGGUUCACCCUACAGAAGACACUUGUCACAUGGCUGCACAGAGCACUCGAAGCACACAGGGUGACUGGUUAGAUGUAACCAACUUGGUCUGUGUUAAUGACUGACUUAAUGUGUCAAUAAGCAAACACCAUUUUUUUCAUGAAUAUGUAAUAGAAGAAAGUUGAAAUGUCUGUGCUAAUAGAACCACAAUAGCUAUCCGGUAAAAAGUGAUAUGAUGUUCAGGGCUAUUUUAAAAUUUCAAUUCAAUGCUCACCUUAAAGAAUGGAGAAGGGUUGGGGAUGUAGUUCAAUGAAAGAGCACUUGCCUAGCAUGCAGCAGGAGGCCCUGGGUUCCAUGCCCAGCAACAUAAAAAAAAAAAGAGUGGAGAAUUAAAAUUCACUGUGAUUAGCAACACUUUAGAAGUAUCAAACUAUCAAAUAUCAUAAAACUAGAAGGGGAUGUACGUGUGUAUGUUUAUUAUGUUAGAUUAUCAAAAUAUCAAGAAUUAAAUAUUAAUGUAAUUCUUUGUGCUGGAUAAUUCCUAUAAAGUAACAGAUAAUGGGUAAUUUCCUGAUGUUAUUGAGUAUUAUAUGGCAUCUAAACAUCUAAAGUUUGUCGGAGAGUGUGGAGAACUACGAAUUAUUACGUUAAACCCUCUGCAAAUCUUUGCCACCACAUCAGCAUCUUUCUUAGUGGAAGGAAACAUCAGCAGUACAAGGGAAAAAAAUGUGUCCAACUUAUGGUAAAGUGUCCACACAACAAAGCCCCAUGUACACGUGAUAGCUCACUGCUCUCCAAGGUCACAGAACAGCUACGACAGCUGAGACUUGGGAGGCUGAGGUGGGAGGAUCAAGAGUUCAAGGCCAGCCUGGGCAACAUAGAGAGACUCUGUCCAAAACAAAAAUUAAAAAAAAAAAAGAUAGGAAAUGUAGCUUGGAGGUAGAGCAUCCCUGGGCUCAACCAGUAUAAAAAGAGAGAAAAAGAGAAAAGCUAUAAUAGCUUAAGUAUGUAGAUCAUUUUGAGGUUUAUCAUUCAUAAUGUUUUCAAAUCCUACUAAAGUUUUUGCACAAAUGAAACAUCUUCCAGCUGGUAGAUAUGGGGAAACGUUGAGGUUCAAAGUGUCAUGUACUAAGGGUGGGGAGAGAUGACAGUUGCAUUUGUUCGUAUUUGCCUAGGGUAUCUCUCAAAAUCGAUGCAAGAGGAAAUUGCUUAAGUUAGUCUCUGGAAAGAGAAAAUAUUGCUUAUGUACAUAUGUACUGCAUGAUUAUGUACUUGUGUAUGUAGUUGUACAUAUGUUCCUCAUAUAUACUUGAUUGAUGCAUGUAUACAGACGUAUACUUAAAAAAAUUUUUUUGUAGUUGUAAAUGAACAAAAUGCCUUUAUUUUAUUUGUUUAUUUUUGUGUGGUCCUAAGGAUCGAACCUAGUGCCUCACACAUGCUGGACAAGCGCUCUGCCACUGAGCAGCAACCCAGCCCCCAUGCAUAGACUUUUGUGUUUGUCAUUGUCUAGGCAUAUGAAUGUUGUCUAUUCAAAACAAUAAGUGUGCUUUAGAACUUACACAGAAUGGUAUGUCUACACUGGGCAGAUGGCCCAGUCUACCACAUUCCCUUAGUGUCCAUAGCUGACCAGUGCAAGUGGAGAUGUACUAAGGUCUGACCUGGUCCAGGCCAAACCACUCUAACCCAUGGGAGUUUGGAAAUAUCAGUGAAUCUCAAUGGAGUUGGAAGGUGGCUGGAAUGGGUCGUCAAUUGCCCUGCCCAGAGUGGAGUUUCUGAGUUCCUGGUCACACUUCCCUAGCACGGCCUUGACUCCUCCCCUCCUGGAGACCUGGAUAGUCAGGUUUCCUUCAGUUUCCUGAGCUGCACGAACAGUCUUCCAGUAAAUCCAUGUUUACCUUAAAUUAGCUCCAAAUAAUGUCUGUUGCUUACUAUAAAAACAAUCUUGGCCAAUACCGUUAUCUUUCUUGACUAACCCUUCCCUAUCUUGGUAAAAGGGUUAAUGUAUCAACCGAACUCACAAUCUCCGAACACAGUCCUGUAAGCCCCGGACCUCUUUACUUGGAUUUCUAAAGUACCCCCGCACAUUUAUAAAAGAGCAUUUUAAAUGAAUCCCCUACCGGAAGCCAUUUCUCCCUCUUCACCUUACAGACUUAGGAUAAGUGAUCCUGGUGGCAUCUACACCUCUGGGUGGGGCUCCCCAGCCUCAGUGACACUCUCGAUGCACAAGCACAGAUUCACAGUUUCAGGUCCAGGAAAGAUGCCAAGUAUGGCCCUUUACCAUGAAGAGUGUGGCUCUUUACCAUCCUAUGCCAGAUGUCAGGAGUGUGUGCUCCCAGAAGCCUAACCAGUGGGUAGUCUUAAUGUAACAACAUGAUAUAUUAUUUCUCAUUUUGGAACAUCAUCUACACAGGUGCUUUGGUAGGAAACUAAGGAAAUAUUCCUUGACAUAUACACUAAUGCACUUUUGAAAAAUUGUUCUAAAAUACACAUAACUUUUUUUUGUAGUUGUAAAUGAACAAAAUGCCUUACCCAUUAAGUGCACAGUUCAGGAGCAUUCUAUACAUUCAGGCUGUUGUACACCUGUGGCCACCAUCUGUUUCCAGAACUUCCUCAUCUUCCCCAACUGCAACGCUCUCCCCAUUAAACACUAGCUACCCACUCCCUUCAUUCUACCUUCUUUGUCUAUGAAUCUGCUGACUCUUAGGAUCUCAUACACACGGAAUCAUGCAGUAUGUUUCCUUUUGUGACUGGCUUAUUUGACCAUCAUCCAGACUCAUUGAGUGGCUUCAGAGUGUCCAGGCAGGGAACAUCCCCCAGUGAGCCCAGAACCUGGAGGCUAUGGGAGUUGAGGGAGAUAGGAAUCAUGAACUCUGGAGAGACAGGUGGAUUUGGAGGGCCUGCAGUUCAGGGUUCCAUCUGGCAAGUAACUUGUGCUGUUCAUGUGCAUCUUGGGUAUCAAAUGGGAAGGAGUGGUCUGGGGAAGAACCUACCUUUGGCUAGGUUGGUCCCUGUAGUCUCACCCUCCAUUUCUUCCCCAUACUGAGGCCCAGGUAGUCUCCUUCAUGUAUUCAACUGGCAUGCUAACAGGGGCUGGAGCCCUCAGAUGCACAAAUGGACAGUUCAUGUUCUGAAGGUGUGGCUUGCUUAAACUGUGGUCACUGGACGACCCUGUUGAUGUGCUUAUCAGGUAGAGAUCAGCUUCCGAUGAGCAGAACAGAGAACCUGAAUGACACCGAUGUUAUGAGUUAACUUUUGUUUCUCAAAAGAAGAUAUGUGGAUCUCUGGUCUAAUUACUAGGUCCUUGAUCUACUUUGAGUUGAGUUUGGUGCAUGGUGUGUGAGAGAGAGGGGUUUAGUUUCAUUUUGCUGCAUAAGGAUUUCCAGUUCUCCCAGCACCAUUCAUUGAAGAGGCUGUCUUUUCUCCCAAUGUAUGUUUUUGGUACCUUUGUCUAGUAUAAGAUAACUUCAUUUAUGUGGGUUGUCUCUGUGUUCUCUAUUCUGUACCACUGGUCUACAUGUCUAUUUUGGUGCCAAUACCAUGCCAUUUUUGUUACUAUACCUUUGUAUUAUAGUUUAAAGUCUGGUAUUGUGAUGCCUCCUGCUCUUCUUGCUAAGGAUUGCUUUGGCUAUUCUGGGUCUCUUAUUUUUCCAAAUGAGUUUCAUGAUUGCUUUUUCUAUUUCUAUAAGGAACGAUGGGGGUUGAGGUUGUGCCUCUGCAGUACAGCGCUUGCCUAGCAUGUGCGAGGAGGCCCUGGGUUCAAUCCUCAGCACCACAUAAAAAUAAAAAAAAUAUAAGGAAUGAUGUUGGGAUUUUAAUUGGCAUCACAUUGAAUGUGUAUAGAGCUUUGGGUAGUGUGGCCAUUUUGACAAUAUUAAUUCUGACUAUCCAAGAGCAUGGGAGAUCUUUGCAUCUUCUAAGAUCUUCUUCUAUUUUUUUCUUCAGUGUUCUGUAGUUUUCAUCGUAGAGGUCUUGCCACACACACGUCAGAUAGAGCACUAAUCUUCAGGAUAUAUAAAGAACUCAGAAACAUUAACACCAAAAAAACCCCUCAAACAAUCCAAUCAAUAAAUGAGCUAUGGAGCUGAACAGACACUCCUCAGAAGAAGAUAUACAAUCAAUCAACAAAUAUAUGAAAAAAAUGUUCAAAGUCUCUAGUAAUUAGAGAAAUGCAAAUCAAAAUCACUCUUAAGAUUUCAUCUCUCUCCAGACAGAAUGGCAGUUAACAAGAAUACAAACAACAGUAAGUAUUGGCAAGGAUGUGGGGGGAAAGGCACACUCAUACACUGCUGGUGGGACUGCAAAUUGGUGCAACAAAUCUGGAUAGCAGUAUGGAGAUUCCUUAAAAAACUUGGAAUGGAACCACCAUUUGACCCAGCUAUUCCACUCCUCAGUUAUACCCAAAGGAUUUAAAAUCAGCAUAGUACAGGGACACAGCCACAUCAAUGUUUAGUGGCUUAAUUCACAAUAGCUAAAUUGGAACCAACCUAGAUACCCUUCAAUAGAUGAAUGGAUAAAGAAAAUAUGGUAUAUAUACACAAUGGAAUAUUACUCAGCAUUAAAAGAGAAUAAAAUUAUGGCAUUUGCAAGUAAAUGGAUGGAGUUAGAGAAGAUCAUGCAAAGUGAAGUAAGUCAGUCUCCAAAAACCAAAGGCCAAAUGUUCUCUCUGAUAAGUGGAUGCUGAUCCAUAGUGGGGGUGGGGUGGGGAGGGAGGAAUUGUGACUAGACAAAGGGGGCAGGGAAGGGAGAGGACAUGGGGGCAGGAAAACUGGUGGAAUGAGAUGGACAUCAUGACCCUAGGUACACGUGUGACUGCACAUAAGGUGCGAUGCUACAUUAUGUACAGCCAGAGAAAUGAACAGUUGUGCUGCAGUUGUGUCCAGUGGAUCACGAUGCAUUCUGCUGUCAUGUGUACCUAAUCAGAAUUAAUUAAGUGAUUAAAAAAAAGAUAUGUGAAGUUCUAAUGGUUAAUUCUCAGAACACAACUUACUUACAGUUGGGACUUUUAGAUUUAACGAAGUUAAGGUCAUUAAGAUGGGACCUAAUCCAGUACGACUGGUGUUCUGGUACAAGGGUGAGUCGUGGACACAGAGGUGGUCUUCCACAUGAGGGGAUGGUCGGUGAGGAGGCAGAGGUUGGUGACUGAAGCCCCAGUGCUGGGAGGAGCCAUCUGCCCGGGAGCCUUCAGGGGGAGUGUGGGCGCAGGGCACCUGGAUUCCACACUUCUCCCCACUGUGAGAGAACAGCUCCUGUUGCAGCCAGAGAAAACUAACACAGGGACGUAAACCAGUAGGGGAUUCUUUAUUGUGCAGAGCUUGAGGUGUGGGACAGCCACCCACAGUGCCAUCAGGGCCUCCUGGGCUGGGAUGGCCACCCCCAACACCCUGAGCAGCUCCCUUGCUCCACAGUCCUGCACCCUGUUUGGGAUGGCUGUGCCACGUCAGCAUCUCAGGUUGAAGGGAGAGGAGGGUGGGGGGUGGGAGUGUCCUCAGGCUCCUCCCCAAAGCCCUCUGCUUAUGCAGAAAUCUUGAGGUGGUGCUCUCCUGGUGGCCAGGAGGCUGGGCACUGUAGUCCUCUUGCCAGGCACAUUGCUACUCCACGAUGAAUCAGGGGCUGUGAUGAGGGAGAAAGGGGGAAUGGACAGGGGAAAAGCAGAGGCACCCACCAGGAUGUUUAUCGCCUCAGGGCAAGAGGAGGAGCCUCAGAACUGCAGGAAGACCCUGAGGGCUCUGAACCUGCCUCUCUCGGCUAGCCCCCUCAGAGUUCCAGUUCUGGGGACCUGCUGGUUGCCACUGGAAAGUGCCCAAGGUCUUCAGGGGCCUGUGCACACCGAGCCUGGGGAGCCUCUUCUUGGUCUGGGUAACUCCAUCUCAAUCUUCUCCCCCCCAGGUCAGCUCAAGCCCUCCCUCUCUAGUCCAAGGCAGCCCAGGCCCCAGGGCCCCAGCUAGAUGGAAAUGAUUUAGGCAUUGCAGGUCAUGUUCAGAUUCUCACCCAGUGUAUGGAGGGAGACCCCACCACACCGUGUUUAUCUUAGGGUAGCUUUCACCAUCCCCAUGUAUCAAGCCAGGCCACCAAGAAAUAGGUACAAGAAAGAACAGUGGGUCAAAGAACUUUUACUUUUCCAGAGAUGAGACAAACUACUGGAUAAUAUUGCCUGGAUACUAUUGCUUUUAAAUAUCUAUCCACAAAAUCUGAAAAAUAUUUCAAGUUGGAAUGAUCUGUAAUUUUGUAGAAUUAUUAGAAAUGACUGAAGAAAAGAAAUUGAACACUGAGCAGGAAGAAAGGCACCAGAAGUAGCCUAGCACCCACAGGGAAUCCGUAUCUAAUACUUGAGUUGCCUCGUGGGAGUAGCUGCUAUUGUCCCUGGGUGCCUGGGAGACAGGGCUUUGAUUGGAAUUGUCCCUUGUGACACCUUAUCCAUUAUUUUUAGUUCUGCAGUGAAGAGAACUGUGAUUAAGGGCUAUGGCCAAUAGAAAAAGUGAGGCUUAUUUCCAGGAUCAGCAAAUCCUUUACUGUUUUGGACUUAGGGGAAAAUCUCAGGCUUGAGGAGAUUGGUUCCUCUGGAGGCCUAUCUGAAAUGUGAUGCACAAAGACACCUGUCAUUACCACAAAAAUCAAGUCGUCAUCUUCAUAAGUGAUUGCCAGGAUCAGCACACAGCCUCAGAACUGCAGGAAGACCCUGAGGGCUUAAAAGCACAAGCAUUUUAAUUGUGGAUGCUGGCAAUGCCUGCGUAGCCACGGCCAGAGCCCCCCUCUUCUAGGUUACCGGGCCAAGCCAUCCAGGAAUGCAGAUCUGCACCCUGGAACUUUACCACAACCUCUGCUCCAGGCGUCAGUGUGGCGGACUGGGGAACAAAAGGUUGGCCAAAAUCUGAAAUGAUCAGGGCCCUUCUUGGGUCUGUCACUGACUAGUGCUGUGUCUGGGGGUUCUCAUUCAUCCUCCCCUACGUAAAGCUUCACCAGUCCUCCCCGCAUUUGCCAAAACAAGGCACGCUGAACUGGAUCUGAGAUCAUGGAAUUCAUCUUUCUGAUCCCUGUACAGCAAGUUAGAAGUGAAGCCUCCAGGGGUUGUGUAUGCAUUGGAAGUUCCUCUUCACAUAACAAUCACCAAUAAAGGAAGUGAUAGGCUCUUUUGUGUUGGAGGGGACACUGGGGAUUGAACCCAGGGGUGCUUUACCACUGAGCUACAUCCCCAGCUCUUUUUUUGUUUUUGAUUUUCAGCCAUGGUCUCACUAAAUUGCUGAAGCUGGCCUCAAAUUUUCCAUCCUCCUGCCUCAGCCUCCCAAGUCAUUGGAAUUGCAAACGUGCUAUAUGCUAAAGUAUUAGAUGCCAAUUCCCUGUGGGUUCUAGGCUAGUUCUGGUGCCUUUCUUCCUGCUCAGUGUCACCAGUGCAGUGACAGUGCAGUCUCACUGAAAGACUUUAGAAGGCCGUCUUUUGAAUAAAAACCUUUUGUAUAAUCGAUGGGGAUAAGUUAAAAUUCAACCCAGGAAAGAAAUGCAGAUUUUUCCCUGGUCAUGAGUGGAACAUAGAUCUUUCUGAGUUGUUGAUUUGCUAUUGUUUCCUCUGAAUCUUUCCAUCUUGACAGACAUCCCUAGGCUUUGCUAAGCACUUACAUCCAGCAUUCACAGCUACAUUCUGUAAUGUUAGAGUAAAAAAAGGACACCCGGAAGUUGAUUUGCAGGAGAGCUGAGGUAUGUGUGGGCUUUGAAGGUGAAGUCCAGGGAUUUAAAUCCAAACCUAGAAGUACGGAAGCCUCAGGGAGCCAUCAGCUGGCAGUCUGAAAGGGCGGGGGAAACAGCUCAAUGAGCAUCUCCAAUGAGCAUCACCGCAGAGGAGCCAAUCAGCUAGAAGUUGCUGGGGCUGCUGUGAGCCAAUCAUCAGCCGGCAGUCUGAAAGUUUCCUGGGGUCCCUUUCGGCUGUGGCUCUCAACAGGGAGCAUCUUGGGAGGUGGGGAAGAACCUCCAUUUGGCUUGUGACUAUCAGUUUUAUAGGUCAGAAUCAUUUCUCAUACUAGACUUGACACAGGACAGAGCGGCAUUCCACUCAAAGCUAGAGUUGGCACAGUUAACAGACUUACUUAAAGAGAAAAAGAUGAUAGGUUUUGUGGAGGACAACCCUUUUCUACUUGGUAUGUCACAUGAACCACUAAGUGAAAAUCUGAGUACCAAAGUUUGAUUACCCUACCUCUAGGAGACUUGGAAAACAGAAGAAAAGAAUAAUACAUGCAGUAAUUAAUGUGGGUUUAGGUCACUAGAGAAUAUUUUAAAGAAAAGCAUAGAGUGGAACAACAAUGUCUUGUGUUCCCCUCAAAAUACCAAGCAAAUGAAUCAGAUGUGGGAGGGCCCCUAGAGCCAGAGGAAUCUGCAGCUUUGGUUCUGUGGACACCAAGCCACAGUGUAGGCGGCUGGCUUGGGGCCUCCAGAUUCAGUUUCUAAUAUGGACAUCACAAUAAGCUUAGGAGUAUAAACUUAAGCACACAUUUGAAAGGCAUAAUUGAUGUGUUGAAGCCUACAUAUUUAAAUUCACUCUAUUCCAACAAAUAUGUAUUCAUUUCAGCAAAUGCAGAUUAACACUUUUUUUGCAGGGCACCUGCAAGACCUGAGGACAAAAGCAGGGGCAAGCUCAGCUCUUCGCCUUGGCAGCUGUGAGGAUGGCUGGGGCCUGAGCCUAAGCAACCCCAUUUAAAACUCCAGUUUGAAACCUGCAGUCUCACCAGGACACCUAGGAGCUCUCCAUAUGGCCCUCAGGCACCAGCAAGUCACUUCCCCACCCUGGUAAACUCAGAGUGAAGUCUCAGGCAGGCUGUUCUCACCCAAUAAGAGGAAAAGGUGAAGGAUCAGGGUGGAGACCAACAGACAAAAUGUUUUAACCCCAGGGU
rnacentral:lncRNA from 1 species